rnacentral:tRNA from 1 species
UGUACCUCAGUGGUAGAGCAUGUGCUUAGCAUGCACAAGGCCCUGGGUUCAAUUCCCAAUGCA